rnacentral:rRNA from 1 species
GAUGAACGCUGGCGGCGUGCCUAAUACAUGCAAGUCGAGCGAACAGACGAGGCGCUUGCUCCUCUGACGUUAGCGGCGGACGGGUGAGUAACACGUGGAUAACCUACCUAUAAGACUUGGAUAACUUCGGGAAACCGUAGCUACUACCGGAUAAUAUAUUUAACCGCAUGGUUCAAUAGUUAAAGACGGUUUUGCUGUCACUUAUAGAUGUAUCCGCGCCGCAUUAGCUAGUUGGUAAGGUAACGGCUUACCAAGGCAACAAUGCGUAGCCGACCUGCUAGGGGGAACGGCAACAGUGAGAGUGAAACACGGGCAAGACUCCGAGGGAAGGCAGAAGUAGGGAAUGUUCGGAAAUGGGCGAAAGCUUGAAGAAGCAACGCAGGGGGAGUGAAGAGGGGCUGCGGAGGGGAAAACGCUGUUAUGGGGGAAAAACAAAGGUGAAAGUAACGAUGCACGUCGUGACGGUACCUAAUCAAAAAGCAACGGCUAACUACGUG